rnacentral:rRNA from 1 species
AGAGUUUGAUCAUGGCUCAGGAUGAACGCUAGCUACAGGCUUAACACAUGCAAGUCGAGGGGAAACGACAUCGAAAGCUUGCUUUUGAUGGGCGUCGACCGGCGCACGGGUGAGUAACGCGUAUCCAACCUGCCCAUCACUUGGGGAUAACCUUGCGAAAGUAAGACUAAUACCCAAUGAUAUCUCUAGAAGACAUCUGAAAGAGAUUAAAGAUUUAUCGGUGAUGGAUGGGGAUGCGUCUGAUUAGCUUGUUGGCGGGGUAACGGCCCACCAAGGCGACGAUCAGUAGGGGUUCCGAGAGGAAGGUCCCCCACAUUGGAACUGAGACACGGUCCAAACUCCUACGGGAGGCAGCAGUGAGGAAUAUUGGUCAAUGGACGAGAGUCUGAACCAGCCAAGUAGCGUGCAGGAUGACGGCCCUAUGGGUUGUAAACUGCUUUUAUAAGGGAAUAAAGUGAGAGUCGUGACUCUUUUUGUAUGUACCUUAUGAAUAAGGACCGGCUAAUUCCGUGCCAGCAGCCGCGGUAAUACGGAAGGUCCGGGCGUUAUCCGGAUUUAUUGGGUUUAAAGGGAGCGUAGGCCGGAGAUUAAGCGUGUUGUGAAAUGUAGAUGCUCAACAUCUGAACUGCAGCGCGAACUGGUUUCCUUGAGUACGCACAAAGUGGGCGGAAUUCGUGGUGUAGCGGUGAAAUGCUUAGAUAUCACGAAGAACUCCGAUUGCGAAGGCAGCUCACUGGAGCGCAACUGACGCUGAAGCUCGAAAGUGCGGGUAUCGAACAGGAUUAGAUACCCUGGUAGUCCGCACGGUAAACGAUGGAUGCCCGCUGUUGGUCUGAAUAGGUCAGCGGCCAAGCGAAAGCAUUAAGCAUCCCACCUGGGGAGUACGCCGGCAACGGUGAAACUCAAAGGAAUUGACGGGGGCCCGCACAAGCGGAGGAACAUGUGGUUUAAUCCGAUGA